GAGAUGUUGGGUUAAGUCCCGCAACGAGCGCAACCCUUGUCAUUAGUUGCUACGAAAGGGCACUCUAAUGAGACUGCCGGUGACAAACCGGAGGAAGGUGGGGAUGACGUCAAGUCCUCAUGGCCCUUACGGGUAGGGCUUCACACGUGCUACAAUGGUUGGUACAAAGGGUUGCAAUACCGCGAGGUGGAGCCAAUCCCAAAAAGCCAAUCUCAGUUCGGAUUGGAGUCUGCAACUCGACUCCAUGAAGUCGGAAUCGCUAGUAAUCGCGGAUCAGAAUGUCGCGGUGAAUACGUUCCCGGGCCUUGUACACACCGCCCGUCACACCAUGGGAGCGGGUUUUACCAGAAGUAGCUAGCCUAACCGUAAGGAGGGCGGUUACCACGGUAGGAUUCGUGACUGGGGUGAAGUCGUAACAAGGUAGCCGUAGGGGAACCUGCGGCUGGAUCACCUCCUU
rnacentral:rRNA from 14 species